UACGUAGGGUGCGAGCGUUGUCCGGAAUUAUUGGGCGUAAAGGGCUCGUAGGCGGUUUGUCGCGUCGGGAGUGAAAUCCACUGGCUUAACUGGUGGCUUGCUUUCGAUACGGGCAGACUGGAGGUAUGCAGGGGAGAACGGAAUUCCUGAUGUAGCGGUGAAAUGCGCAGAUAUCAGGAGGAACACCGGUGGCGAAGGCGGAUCUCUGGGCCAUUACUGACGCUGGAGGAGCGAAAGCGUGGGGAGCGAACAGG
rnacentral:rRNA from 1 species